rnacentral:rRNA from 1 species
UGGGGAAUUUUGGACAAUGGGCGAAAGCCUGAUCCAGCAAUGCCGCGUGUGUGAAGAAGGCCUUCGGGUUGUAAAGCACUUUUGUCCGGAAAGAAAUCCUUGGCUCUAAUACAGUCGGGGGAUGACGGUACCGGAAGAAUAAGCACCGGCUAACUACGUGCCAGCAGCCGCGGUAAUACGUAGGGUGCAAGCGUUAAUCGGAAUUACUGGGCGUAAAGCGUGCGCAGGCGGUUUGCUAAGACCGAUGUGAAAUCCCCGGGCUCAACCUGGGAACUGCAUUGGUGACUGGCAGGCUAGAGUAUGGCAGAGGGGGGUAGAAUUCCACGUGUAGCAGUGAAAUGCGUAGAGAUGUGGAGGAAUACCGAUGGCGAAGGCAGCCCCCUGGGCCAAAUACUGACGCUCAUGCACGAAAGCGUGGGGAGCAAACAGGAUUAGAUACCCUGGUAGUCCACGCCCUAAACGAUGUCAACUAGUUGUUGGGGAUUCAUUUCCUUAGUAACGUAGCUAACGCGUGAAGUUGACCGCCUGGGGAGUACGGUCGCAAGAUUAAAACUCAAAGGAAUUGACGGGUCAUAGCUG